rnacentral:rRNA from 1 species
CCGAAUGCGCCCUCCCCGUAGAAGCGGGGAGCCGGGCGGCAGGGGGAAGCUCUGUCGCCGAGAGGGGAACAACCCGGACUGGGGUUAAGGCCCCCAAGUCCCGGUUAAGUGCCGAAAUCCGAAGGGAGUCUCCCUCCUAAGACAGCGGGGAGGUAGGCUCAGAAGCAGCCAUCCUUUAAAGAGUGCGUAACAGCUCACCCGCCGAGGAGGGAGGCCCCGAAAAUGAGUCGGGGCUGAAGCCAGGCACCGAUACCCCGGCGGUGCGAAAGCACCGGGUAGGCGGGCGCGCGUACCGGGCAGAAGCCGGGGCGUGAGCUCCGGUGGACCGGUACGUGUUGCAAAUCCCGGCGGUAGUAGCAGCGAAGUGGGGUGAGAAUCCCCACGGCCGAAAGCGCCAGGGUUCGCCGGCAAUGCUUCGUCAGCCGGCGGUCAGCCGGUCCUAAGGCGGCACCCAACAGGUAGCCGCCGAAAGGGAAGCCGGUUAACAUUCCGGCGCCACCGGGGUAGGCGGCAACGCAGGCCCCGCUCCUGACGCCUCGGGCUAGGCCGAGCGGGGGCCCGCUGAGGCGGGCGACCCGUCCAAGCGCUGAAGGCCGCUGAGAACCUCAAGGGUGAGAGGCGGCUGAAGGCGUGAUGGGGGUCCCUUUGGGGGCCUUCGGCUGAUGCCUGGGGCCCGUGAAAAGGGAGUGGGGAGCGAUCUCCGGUGUCCGUACCGAGAACCGACACAGGUGCGCUGGCUGAGAAGGCCUAAGGCCUCUCGGUCCUAACGCGGGAGAGGGAACUCGGCAAAUUAGCCCCGUAACUUCGGGAUAUGGGGUGCCUGCGUUCCUCCGAAAGGGGGUUCGCAGGUCGCAGUGACAAGGGGCGCCCGACUGUUUAACAAAAACAUAGUUCCCCGCGAGCCCGCAAGGGUGUGUACGGGGGAUGAGGCCUGGCCAAUGCCGGUACCUGAAGCCCCGGUACAACGGGGUGAAGGGCCGGUGAAAGCCGGGAGUAACUCUGACUCUCUUAACGGGAGGAUCCCGCUGCCGAACGUAAGGAUUAUUGAUCUCGCUAGGCGGUGGGAUCCCCCGGGGGAAAGGUAGCCAUAUGCCUUGCCGAAUAAAAAUCGGCGUGCAUGAAUGGCUUAACGAGGUGCCCGCUGUCCCCUCCCGCAUGCCGGUGAACCCGCAUCCCGGUGUACAGACCGGGACGCCCCAGUGGGGAGAGAAGACCCUGUGGAGCUUCACUGCAGCCUGGCCUUGGGAUGCAGCUGGGGAUGCAGAGGGUAGGCGGGAGCGAUGUGGUCACCCUCCAGGGGGUGACUGAAGCGACGAUGGAACACCGCCCUUCUCCGGCUGUACCACUAACCGCUCCGGCGGGACAGGGCUAGGUGGGCAGUUUGGCUGGGGUGGUACGCCCCUGCAAAGAUAUCAGGGGCGCCCAAAGGCGGGCUCAGGUGGGACAGAAACCCACCGAGGAGGGCAAGGCCAAAAGCCCGCCUGACUGGAUCCCUAAACGCGUGGGAUCCAGAGGUGAAAGCCGGGCCUAGCGAACACUCGAGCCCUCUCGGUGAGGGCCGGGUACGACAGAAAAGUUACCCCAGGGGUAACGGAGCCGUGGCGGGUGAGAGUCCCCAUCGGCCCCGCCGCUUGCUUCCCCGACGUCGACACUGCCCAUCCUGGGGGUGCAGCAGCCCCCAAGGGUAGGGAUGCUCGCCCAUUAAAGGGGAACGUGAGUUGGGUUCAGAACGUCGCGAGCCAGUUCGGUUUCUACCUGCUGGGGCUGCAGGGCCGCCUGAGGGGAAGGGACCCUAAGUACGAAAGGAACGGGGUGCCGGGGCCUCUGGUGUACCGGUCGUCCUCCAGGGCGUCGCCGGGUAGCCACGCCCCAACCGGUAAGGGCUGAAAGCAUCUAAGCCCGAAGCGGCCCCCGAAAAUAGGCGGCCCCGCCCCCAGUGGGGUUAGGGCGCGGGUAGAAGACCCGUUCGAUGGGGGGGUGGUGUAAGGCAGGAGCGUGAGCGGACUGCCUCAGCCUACCCCUCCCAAAGCCCGAGAGCGAAGGGC